CGUACAGUUUUACCGGUUCAACACUGGGACUGAAUUGACCUAUAGUAAAAUAGCUACAGUGGUCUAGUUAACUCAGACCUAUCCUCCCUACCCACCAAUCCUCCUCCCAACUCUGCUGCCCCAGCCUCCAGGUCCGCUGGCCAUUUGUCUGCAUGGAUUUAUUGGACUGACCACCCAGUCUGCUGUUACAGAGACUUGGCCUUUCUUUUAUAUUUCUCCAUCAGUUUUUGUUUCUUAUUUUGAGGCCAGUUCUAGAUUGUUUACCCUUUGAUGGACAGACCGGGCUUUGUCUCAUUUGGUUCCACUUAGACAAACAGUAGGAGUGUAAAAAGGAGGCUUGGGUCCAGGUAACAGAAAGUUUGACUCCUCUCCCCUCUAGGGACUGUCCCCUCUGCAGACGCAGCUACAGUGGGAAUUAGAAAGGAGGAAAAGACCACAUGGUGGAAUUUGUCAGCUGCUUCUGUUAAUGUCUCUUAAAAUGGAGGUCAGAGUAGUGUAUGCAGAUACCAAAAUGGGGAAAUUGUCUGGUUAAAGUAAAUGAAUCAGUCAAAUAUAUGUUCCUCACAUUUUAAAGAAAAAGGUAAGGUUCAAUGAAAAAUGAAGAUUUUGGUCUUCAAAGAGAAAUUCCUCUUUUUGUUACAAAGGAGGGUGCUUCACUUGAAAUUGGUAAAUACUUUGCUGCUUUGCAUAUGUUCCAGCAAAUAUAAUUUGUCUUUUUGAAUCUCACAGGAUUAGCUAUUUUAUUACUAUUUCUUCUUAUUUCUGGAGCUAAAGAUGGUAUACAAAUAGUAUAGCUCACAAAUCUAAGAGCAUGUCUUUAACAUGAUGUUCUGCCAAGUGAAUAUUGCAGUCUGAUCAAAUUGACAGUGUCUUUCUAGCUGGGGAAGCACAAUGCCCCACAAUUUCAUUCCCCCAACAUCAUGUUUAAAUCAUGGAAGGGGUUAAGAGCCAGAGAAUGAACAAAAUGGUUUCCUAGGUUUCAAUAGUACCUAAGAUAUGAUUCCUGGAGUUCACAAUAUUAUAAAUCAUUCUAAAGGAAUAUGCUCCCCAGAAUUUUUAUUUUAAAAUUACUCAUUUCUGGUGUAUACAAGGGCAAGGUCAGAUGGCCUGCAGGAAGCAAGCCAGGUAAAUUUCCAUGAUUCAUAGUCACUAGGCAAUGUCUAGUUGCAGUUGAUCAUUCAUGCUGGCAUAUGUCCCAAGUAUAGGUCAUCUCAGUGUGGGUAACCUGACUGCACUAAUAAGUCUGGAGGAUAGUCUCUCUGCCUCCGGAUAAGUAGGAGGCCUAGAGUAAGUAGCUAGAAGAGCUCAUUCCAAGUAAUGCUAGUGUAGAGACAAAAAUUUUCCUAAUCUUUUGAAAACAAUUAUCUUUAACCAGUUUGGCUAUGCAAACAAGACCUGGAGUGGAGAACUAAGGAUAUAACUUUAAAAUCACAGAAUGCCCCAUCAUAGAUAACCUCCUAUUUUCUCAGAAGUAUAGGUUCUAAUAAUUAGAAACAUCCUUAGAGGUCUUUGUCCCUUAACAACAUCUGUGUCCUGGGGACAGUAACUCCAGAUCUAGGGCUCUUUGCCUGAUGCAUUCCUUGUUCCUUGGACCUAGCUUAGAGACAGAUCUGUCACAGUGACACUCCUUGCAAUGAAGGACCACAGAGGAGGACUGUGAGGACUUUGUCUUGGAGGGUCUGGCAAGUAUUGCAUGUAACUUUCCUCAAAAGUGAGAGCAAAUCCUGUCCUUUGGAGAAACCCCAUCGUUCCCUGACUGCCUGUCUUUUAGCGUUCCAGGUUCCCAGCCCUCUUUUCAGCCAGCCAUGACCCUUGGCUUUGCAGAAGGCUCAACCUCACUUGAUUUCAAAGCCUCUACUUUCUUCCCUUAGAUUCUGUUUAUGUAUGCGCUGGACAACUGUAGAAGUCCAAACUUCACAUAGUUGUCUGGAUUUCUGUGAAAAUGCCUUAUAUGACACCCAACAGGAUAUCAAUCCAUGCAGGGAUUUUUGCCAGAACAGCACCAUUGGUGGCCUUCUAGCUGGGCUUUAACAUUGGCUCUGGCAGAACUUAUAUGCCCCAAGGUAGUCCAUUCCUCUGAGUCUAGCCUCUUAUAACUCCAUGAUAGUACUUCCUUCCUAGGUUUUUGGGGCAGAUUAAAUGAGGUUAUGCCUAUGAAGUAUGGACAGGUGCCUGGCACAUGCUUGUCCCCCAUCAAUGUCUCCCCAGCUCCUUCCCUCACAUAAAGUAUCUACAUCUUGAUAUAUAGAUAUCACAGCACAGACUCUGGGCUCAUCAUUAAAAGUGAAAAUUCAGUAAUGAAAAUAGCUUCAUCUUCAGAGGCUCUUUUAUUUCCUCUUAACAAUUUUCAGUGUGAAAUCAUUUCCUUGAAAACAAGGGGUAAGAAACAUUAAGAAACAUAGAAAUUAAGAUGUUUUUCUUUCUUUCUUUAUGUCAUCUAGUAACAUGCACCAUUAACCUCAGUCAUGUACAUUCCUGGUAUGCUCUGGCUCUGAGUGUUAGAAGAGAAAUCCUUGUAGUCAUCUUUUUUUUUUUUUUGUAAUAAUAAUAGAUUAAGUCAACUGAAUAAAAAUAUAAAUAUCCUAGUUCCAUCUCUUAAAGCUAUUCCCUCUUAUGAUGUAUUCUUUUCUGAAUGAAGGUUUCAUUCCCUACAAAUGUCCUAGAUAAUCAACAGACACCUCCAGUCACACCCACCACAAACAAGGUGACGAGUAGAUGGCUUACAUGUGUGUCUACAGACUGGAUAUGAUGAAACAUGACAUGAAUUAGUAAAUCCGUCAGGAGAAAAACAGAUUUGCUGUCACACAUUAACCAGUUUUGCUGCAAUUCCAACACCGUAGAUUUUCAAUUAGCUGAAAUCAGUCGCAGUGGUAGGAUACCGCUUUUCUUUCUAGUCUGCUCCACAGCAGUAUUAAAGCCUGUUUCAGGUAUUUCAAAUGGAGAACUUAAAACAUCCAUUUUAAAGGAAUUUUAAAAACUUGUGCUACUCCAAGAGUAGCUCUUGAUAAUAUAAAGAUUUGCUAGGUAGUGAAUUAAUGAGCACAAAACCUGUACUAUACAAAACACUCACUGGUUAAAAAAAAAAAAACUUUUUCAUUAAGAAAUCUAGAUUAGACCCUAUUGGCUUUAACUGUAUAAUGGAAAUCCUUUUAUAUGUAUUACCAAACUCCCAUCAAAUCAUACCUCCGGACACCAAUAAGGAAAUCACCUCUUAUUUUAAACUAGAUACAUCAGAAGAAUAAUGGGUGCAGAGGUGGUCGUUUCUCUGAGUGGAACCAGAUGUAGAAAAAAUCCAGUCCCUAGUACUGAACUAGAAUCUUCUCUUGGCUAAUAGGAUGUGACUGAAUUCCAGGAAUGUUUAGUUCGUUUAAAAGAGUCAUGGUUUUUCAUCAGUGGGUCUUUGAGCAUUUAAAAUCUUUGGCUUGUAAGAUUUUUUUUUUUAACGAGCGAAUGCACAGCACUUUUGAUGCUGCUCUGACCAGCCUGUUGAAUGCUGCCUCAUAAGCUUUUCCUGUGACACUUCCUUUCAGCAAUGUUUCACAUGUGCUUUUUUCCUUCUGCCCACAUUCUGUGUUCACCACCAAAUUUCCAUUGUCAGUCCCCACCCACACACAAUGUCACUUGCUCAUAUAUACCCCUCCAAUCUUAGAGCAGUUCAAACCACCACUCACAUUUUCAUUGCACAUUAUGGAGGGGGAAAAUAUUGGCGUCCUCAAAAAGGGCAUAAAGUUCAUGUAAAAGGACUUAAUAUUUCUAGAACAUUUUCUUCUGGGAGGUCCCUUCAUGCCUAGUUACUGCACUUGCCACAAUAAGAAUAUGUACUCUCUCUUUGCCUGUGGGGCCCCCAAGCCAUUUUUCCCUGAUGACUGGUUUUCCCAUCAGAAAGUCUUGAUUAUGAGUCGAUAAAGUAAUACUCUACAGUCACACCCCCAGGGAAGGGAAGGAUUGACUAAGUAUCUGGAUUAUUCUGGAAAGGACAGGGAAAGGGGUGAGGUUUGUUUGCUUUCUAUUUUCUGUUCAAGCAAAGGCAGAUUUUAAAAACUGAAUUAGGAAAGUAAUAGGAACUGCUUAAAUCAUCUUGUAUCUGUGUUAUAAGCUUUCAAGUCAGGAAAGCUUAAGAAAAAGAAAAGUUCAGGUUUCAAACAUGUGCUUGUUUCUAAGCACAAACUUAGCAACUUCUCAUGUUGCUUUCACUAAACGUAAGAGUUCUCAUACAAGCGAGGUCUGUUUUCAUCACUUUCCAGCAAAGAUUAAAUUGCAGGGUGCUGUAGUAAUGACUCUGGUUGCUAAAUCUCCAUUGCCAAGUCAGAAACAUCAGAGGGACAACUCCGCUUAACCAGAGGCCCAGGAUACCUCAGCCACAUGAAUGCCUGGACAAAUGCCAGCCGAAUUAAUCAGUAUGCAUGGUGCUGGAGGCAGGAGCAGAUACCUCUUGUGGAGUGCUUACUCCGUAGACCAGUGUGGAGACUGUCAAAGCAGAGGAGAACAGUAAUAAGUGGCCCAAUCCUGGACAUGACUGUGCCAUUUAAAAUUUUUAGUCACUUAGGAUAAGUGAUACUGGAAGUUCAAGCAUUUACUUCCAAGGCAACCUGGGAGAGUUUCAGCUGUGAUUUCUUAAGUGAAGCUAAAUUAAUACCUUCAUUCUUUCAUUUAUUCACUCAUCAUUUAAAAUGUAAAUGUUUCUAGAGUGCCUAAACAGUGACAAGGAACUUCCAAAUACAUUUCUUUUGGCAUGGGUAAUGGGUAAAUUUGAAGUUCUGAGAAAAACAGAAACCUGGAUCCAUAUUUGAGCAAUAAUAACUAAAGUAAGUAGACAAAAUAAAUAAAAUAAGCACUGGCUUUUAUUAACCACCUACUAUAUGUCAUAUUUUAUCUAUUACACUUAAUUUCUAAGGAGGGUGGAGAAAAGACAACCAAGUGAGUCUCAGGAACAGCUUGGUUCACAGAGAAAAGCCCUCAGAGGGUCUCUGGAUGUACCGACAGUUUGAAGUAAGUUUAAGGAACAUAACAGACAAGUCAGAAGAACAGACUGUAGUUUGGCAGCAGGGAGGCCUCUAGGCGUCAUUCACAUUUGGUUGGUUUCUUUGAGCUGUGAUUUUAAAAUCAGUGAAACCUAUUUCUUUAAAUCCAGUAGCAUUUAUCAUAUCAUUUUGUGCUUGUGAUAUUUUGUGCUUAUAAUAACCUUCGUAAAAAGUCUAUCUCCCUGUGAGGAAUAGUGAACUGUAGUUGUGAAGGGUAGGGCUCUGAAGCCAGAAACUAUUGGGUUUAAAUUGUCAUGCAGCUGCUCAUACCUGUGUCACCUUGGGCAGGUAAUUUCAAGCUCUUUGCAUCAGUUUCUCAUCUGUGAAACGAGGAUAGUAAUAGUUCCUACAGUGCAGUUGCAGUUAGUUGUGAAAAUGAGAUGAUUUAUGUGAGUUACUUAACAUAGUGCUAAUAUUUACAAAGUAAUUUUACUGUCAGUCCCUUCUGCCAUCCCCAUACCACUUUUAUAAUACAGUUUUGUACAUCCAUCCAUCUAAGGACUCCCGAAAGUACUCUGUUUCUCCCGUGAUUUGAUGGGCAAUAUGUAAAAGCUAAUAUAUAAUUCAUUUAGGAGCAAAGCUUCAUUAUACUAUAUUGCUGUAUAAUUUCCUCUAGUAUGCAGGUAUCUGGUACAGCUUAUUAAAGUAAGAAAGCAAACUAUGCUGUAUAUCAGAAGGGAAGAAUUUGUGAGUUCUAUACAUCUGGGCUUCUCAAACUGCAAGGUUCAUAUGAACCCUGUGUCUUGGUAGAAUGCAUAUUCUGAUUCGGUAGUUCUAGGGCAGAUCCUGAGAUUCUGUAUUUCCAGCAAGUUCCUAGUCAGUGCCAGGGCUGACGGUUUGUGGUCAACACUUUGAUCUAGGCCCUAAACCAGUAGUGACAACUGAAUGAAGGAAGCUGAGGAGUUGGUGUGAACAUUCCUCCAGUCAUGGGUGAUUUCCUUGACCGCAGUUUUUCUAUGGGAGACUCUGUGCUCAGCUCUCGGGGGACAUAGUCAAACCUCCCUGGAAGGCACCCCCCUCCUACACUGGCACCUGUGAAAACAUAUUGGAAACAGGCUAUAAAGACAGAAAAACCUGCAGUGAGACACCUGGCCAGCCCACAGCUGCCCAAAUGAGCAAGCACCCUGGUUUCCACACUUCACUGCUCCUUUUCUAGAAGGCUGAUUCCUCCCAAGGCCCCAUUACUUCUGAAAACUGUGAGCAAAAGUCCCCAAGGCUAGUGGACCACAGAUGGAGCACCACAGGCCUUACCCGAUCCUUGUCAGAGGACUGGCUCCUCAGAGAGCAGCUUAUCCUCUGUGGACUGUUUCUCACUCCUACAGCUAGUAGAUUUCUCUAAGUCAGGUCACUCAGAGUCUUUAUUUAGUGCCAAGUGGGCCAAAAAAACACAAAGAGCAUGAGGGAGGGACUCUCUAUUUCCCCAUGUUCUAAUGACAGGUCCUCUGAAAGGGGAAAAAAUUACAAAUCACCAAAAACCCUUCCCAAAUGAUCUAGUGUCAAAGAGCAAAUCCUAGAAAUACUUCAUUUUUGAAAUUUUAAUGUAAAAAAUCCUAGAAAUGUUGAACAAAUGUCAGAGUAAUAACUGUAUUUAGAGUCCCUCGUGCUUCACCUGGAAUUCGAGGUCUAACACAGACCCUGCAUCAUAAAUUGUUGAUAUCUUCUCCUUUACCAUUCAUUGUUCAUGCAUUUUUCUAUCACACAGCUCUGACCAAUGAUGAGAGACACAGUGUUGCCCUGAGAGCCCCGUCCUCCAGAAGCUGUCCCUGCUGAGUAGGGUGCAAAUACUAACUGUUGACCUCCACAUAUUCCAGGUGGCUUUACAAGUGUGUCCACAGGGCAAGCUCACAGAUCUGAGUCCACACCCAGUUCUAGUGUGCUGGGCAUGGUCAUUCCAAUUAGAUAAAAUAACAGUAAAAUGUACAACAGAAAUUUAUGAAAAGCCUGCUCAUUAAGUUAUAGAAAUAAAAAAUAAUAAUGUACAAAAUGUAGAGUUGGAGGAGGGGCAUGUGGAACUCCAUAAUUUCUGUGCAGUUUACUGUAAACCUAAAAGUGCUCUAAAAAUAAAGUCGGUUAAUAAAGGAAAUGCAAAGUUCAUGACCUUGGAAAAUAUAAGCAUACAGGCUGAAUACAAAAGCUUUAGAAAGGAUGUUUAAGAAGAAAGACCUUCCUAAAAGUUUCCCAUUACUGUACCACAAUUAACGGGUAUGAUGGAAAAAAAAUCUGUUAGAAGGUAAGAUCACCCACCCCAUUUCUUCUCUACCAGGAGAAAAUACUCAGGAAUGGGAGCAUGUUAAGAUGUAAGGAGCAGCUUGUUUAGAGUAAGGCCUGAGUUUGAAUCCCAGGUUGGCCCUCCUACUAGCUGUGUGCCUUUGGACAAGCAACUUAACAACUUUUAUCUUAAGUUUUCUCAUCUGUAAAACAGUAAUAAUGACAUGUGUAUAAUGCAGUUAUUAUUAGAAUUAAAGGAAAUACUGGAAGUGAAACCAGUAGCCAUAGGGUAUGCUUAACAAAUGUCAUUUGAAGUUAAACACUUCUAGCAAUGAUUUAAUUCUAAGAGGUGUAUCAUGUCAGUUAGUGGGAAGGUCAGUUAGUGUGAAGAUGGGAGGGAUGAAACCCUUUUGUAGGUAAGUACUUAGCAGUCUGCCUGACAUACUGUAGGCCCUCAGUAGAUAACUUGUUGAAUGUAUAAGGCUCUGAACCGAGAAAACCAAAAUUUCACAGAGCUGGUUAAUUUUAUCCUCAGAUGCAUUACCUUGAUGUAUAUAGAACAUUACACUUUCUAAAGUCCAUUUAUACUUAUUUAAUAAAAUAAACAAACCAAAACCUCGGAAGCAGGUAGGACAGAUUCAUACUUUAAUUGGUAAAAGUGGAAACUGAGGUACCCAGAAAAUCACUAAAAAAAAAAAACUAGUGAAAGAGCAGAAUUAGGACUCAAGUUUUUAAUUAUGAUCAGUUUUCCACUAUGUGUGUUGAAACUUAGUGAGUCUCUUUUCCUAUACUCACUGGGGAAAAAUGCCAUUCUGAACACUUAAGAGAGCAUAGAUAAAACAUAAGCCUGAAUUAGAAAUUUAAGGGAAAAUAAAACAUAUUGUUCUAUAUUCCAUAUAGAAUACAAAAGCAUCCUUUCCAAAUAAUUUUACCGUUUCUUUUCAGUUUGUGAUUUGACAGUCAUUGAUGGCCAGUGCACAAGGCCACUGUAGGUAAGCUUUCAGCUCUAAUGCCAGUUCUUCUAUACAAUGUCAGGUGUGACUGGACAUUUGUCCAAAAGCUAUUUUUUGCAUCUUAGACUUACUGUCAGAGGAAAACAUACCUAGGAGAUAUUGUGGGUUCAGUUCCAGACCACUGCAAUAAGCAAAUAUUAUAAUAAAGUAUGAGUCAAGUAAAUUUUUGGUUUCCCAGUACAUAUAAAAGUUAUGUUUACACUAUGUUAUAGAUGAUUAAGCUUGCAAAAGAUCGUCUAAAAGAAAACAAUGUACAUGCUUGGUUUAAAAAAUGCUUUAUUCCUAAAAAAUGCUAGCUAUCGUCUGAACAUUCAGCAAGUUGCAAUCUUUUUCCUGGCAGAAGGUCUGCCUCGAUGUUGUUGAGUGCCAACUGAUCAGGGUGGUAGCUGCUGAAGGCUGAGGUGGCUGUGGCAAUUUCUUAAAAUAAGACAAGAAUGAAGCUUGCCACAUCAAUUGACUUUUUCUUUCACAAAUGACUUCUCCAUAGCAUGCAAUGCUGUUUAUAGCAUUUUAUCCACAGUAGAACUUCUUUUAAAAUUGGAUUCAGUCCUCUCAAAACCUGCCACUCUGUUACCGACUAAGUUUAUGUAAUAUUCUAAAUCCUUUGUUGUCAUUUCAACAAUCUUCAUAGCAUCUUCACCAAAAGUAGACUAUCUCAAGAAACAACUUUCUUGCCUCAUCCAUAAGAAGCAACUCCUCAUCUGCUGAAGUUUUAUCAUGAGAUUGCAACAGUUCAGCCACACCUUCAGGUUCCACUUGUAAUUCUAGUUCUCUUGCUAUUUCCACCACAUCUGCAGUUACUUCCUCCACUGAAGUCUUGAGCCCUCAGUGUCAUCCAUGAGGGUUAGAAUCAACUUCUUCCAAACUCCUGUGAAUGAUGAUAUUUUAACCUCUUCCCAUGAAUCACAAAUGUUUCUUAAUGGCAUCUAGAAGGGUGAAUCCUUUCCAGAGGGUGUUCAGUUUAUCUUUCCCAUAUUUAUCAGCGGACUCUUUAUGGCAGCUAUAACCUUAUGAAGUGUAUUUCUUAAAUAAUAACACUUGAAAGUUGACUGAAGAAUGGAUGUUGUGUCAGCAGGCAUGAAAAUGUUCAUCUCAUUGUCCAUCUCCAUCAGAGCUCUUGCAUGACCAGGUGCUUUGUCAGUGAGCAGUAAUAUUUUGAAAAGAAUCAUUUUUUUUUCUGAGCACUAGCUCUCAACAGUGGGCUUAAAAUAGUAAACCGUGUUAUUAAUAGAUGCACUGUCAUCUAGGCUUUGUUGUUCCACUUACAGAGCACAGGCAGAGUCCAUGUCACAUAAUUCUUGAGGGCCCUAGGAUUUUCAGAAUGGUAGGUGAGCACUGGCUUCAAAUUAAAGUCACCAGCUACAUUAGCCUCUAACAAGAAAGUCAGCCUGUCCUUUGAAGCUUUGAAGCCAGGCAUUGGCUCCUCCUCCCUAGCUAUGAAAGUCCUCGAUGGCAUCUUCUUCCAAUAGAAGGCUGUUUCAUCUGCACUGAAAAUCUGCUGUUUAAUGUAGCCACUUUCAUUAGUGAUCUAAGCUAGAUCUUCUGGGUAACCAGCAGCCUCUACAUCAGAACUGGCUGCUGCACCUGCACUUUUCUGUUAUGGAAAUGACUUACUUUCUUAAACCUCAGAACCAACCUCUGCUAGCUUCAGACUUCUCCUCUGCAGCUUCUUCACGGCCCUCACUCAACCUUCACACAACUGCGGAGUUUGGGCCUUGCUCUGGGUCAGCUCUGGCCUAAGGGAGCACUGUGGCUGACGUGGUCGCCAGUCCAGACUCCCUGAAGCUUUCUCCGUAUCAGCAGUAGGGCUGUUUCUUGUCAUUUGUGUGUUCACUGGAGUAGCAUUUGUAAUUUCCUUUAAGAACUUUUCCUUUGCAUUCACAACUUGGAUAAUUUUUUGGCACAAAAGCCUCAGCUUUCAGCCUGUCUCGGCUUUCAACAGGUCUUCCUCACUAAGCACUCAAUCAUUUCUAGCUUUUGAUUAAAAGUGAGAGGCAUGUGACUCUUCUUUCACUUGAACACUUAGAGGCCAUUGUAGGGUUUUGGUUUAAUUUCAAUAUUGUUGUGUCUCAUGGAAUAGGGAGACGUAAGGAGAGGAGGAGAGAGGAGAAAAUGGCCAAUUUGUGAAGCAAACACAUACAGCAUUUAUAGCUUAAAUUUGCCAACCUAUAUGGGUGCAGUUCCUGGUGCCCCAAGACAAUUAGAAUAGUGACAUUAAAGAUCACUGAUCAUAGGUCACUAUAACAAAUGUAAUAGUAAUAGAAAAGUUUGAAAUAUUGCAAGAAUCAUCAAAACGUGACACAGACAGGAAGUGAGCAAAUGCUGUUGGAAACAUGGUGCCGAAGGCCUGACAGGGGUAGGGUGGAGUGAGGUGGCAGGGCAAAGAGAGAAAAAAGUAAUGGAAGGUUUUCUCAUCCAAGAACUAUAGUUGUACGAAAUGUACUAGCUGAUGUUUGUAUAGGUCCAGAGGAAAAGCAGGAUUUUUUACGUUUCUAUAACAUAUGUAAGACUAUGUAAACAUUGUCUUGAUCUGAAGCCUGGCCAACUCCCAACUAUCCCCUACUAGAAUGAGCCUUGACAGGAGUAAGAGAAGCAAGUCACUAAGCAGCUUCUGCUUUAUCAGAAUCCCAGUGCUCAACCAGUAGGCUGGUCAUUUUCUGGGUGUGCCUCUGCCUUCUUCUUUGGCAAAAUUUUAGCAUAGACAGAGGAAGCACCAUUUUCUCUACCUUUAUAACAAGUCAUCCCAAACCUUAAAACAAUGGCCAUAUCUCUUUUACCCCAGAGCCUGUGAUUUGGGCAGGGCUCCGUCAGAAGCUGCCUGCACCCGGCUUCAGCUGGAGUGCCCUGCAGGCUGGGGACCCGAGUCAUUGAAGUUUCUCUCCCUCACAUGUUUGGUGGAUGAAUCUGACUUUGGAGCUGUCAGCCAGAACACCAACCUGUGGCCUCUCCCUGUGAUCUCAGCCUCCUAACAACAUGGCGGCUAGGUUUCCUGUGUGAGAACCGCAAAAGAGAGAGCCAGGUGGGAACUGGGUCCUCUCUGUAACUCAGCCUUGGAAGUCACACAGCAUCGAAUGACUCCACUCUGCUCUGUGGGCCGAGCAGAAGUUGGUGUACACCCUGAUUUGGAGGGAGGAAACACAGACCCCACCUCUCAGGGGGAGGAGUGUCAAAAUACGAUCAGAAGAGCACAUGAAAUGGAGAUAUUGCUUCAGUCCUUUAGAAAAAUACAAUAUGCCACACACCUGCGGCAGCCAUUCCCUUCUCUGGAAUCACACUGCCUUCCUAGGAUUCUUCUAGGACACACAUGCUCCAAUGGCUAGGGGAGGGGUGAUAGUUGCUGGCUUUUUGGAUUUUAUUUAUUUUUUUGUUCCAAAAUAGCCUGAAAUACCAUCCUACCUGAAGCAGGAAUGUGACUUGUUCAGAGCUGCAGGCUGGUUAGUGAAGGAGCCUGCGUUUGAGUCCUGGCCAUCUGAUCCCAUUAUCAAUACUAGAUUCCUUCCUGUAUGUAGGAUCAAGUGGAAAGAAGCAGAAAUUUUGAGGUUAUUAAGAGUUUGGGGAAGGGACUAAAGAAAUAAGGAAACAGGUAGGAGGGUAAAGAGCGAAAGAAGGGAAGUCGGCGGACCCCAAAGUAGAUUCUCUUUUUGAUAUAGUUGCUUGAUCCUGGGCAUUUUCUCCAAUUUCUGGUUUCUCUAACAUCUAUUCCUAGUCUUCCUUUUGGACAGCUGAACUAUUUCUCUUUAGAUUGAGGGAUAACAGUCAGCAUAUCUAGUUAUAAUGAGCCUGGGUGAACCAGACUUUUUACUUGAAAGGUGUUUAGAAGGUAAGGUCAUUGUCACAACGUGCAGCACGGUGUUGCUGGGCAAAAAAAUAUAAUGUCAGGCAGAAUAAUAAUGAUUUGACACAGUCACCCAGACUUACGCACUCAGGGAUAAAAGCAGAACGAAUCCUUUCUCAAGACACCAUCUAAUCAAAUUCAGGCAUGUGUACAGCCUGCAGCACAGAGAAGAUGAUCAUUUCAUUGGGCAAAGAUUAUUAAAAUUGGAUUCUUUUUUCAGAAGAGGGUCAAAAUUAGAAUUCUGCAAAGCAUUAUCUUCUUCCCACAAUGGCCAUGUCAUUUUUAUAAGAGAUGUGUUGCCUAGAAAUUUUCCUGAUCCUUUUGUUCUUCCUCACGUCUAAUCUGUGUUAAGUUAGCAGUAAAACUGGGUACCAGACCUAUCCAGAGAGGCACAGGAGACAAUUAACACCUACCUCUGGAACACUGGUGGUGAUUAAUAAGACAUUGUGCCGCAGCUGUGUAUGUUUUUAUGUUUAUUGCAAUCAAGCUUGAUUAAAGCUGGCUUUGGUGAUAUCCUCUGAUUCCUUGUGGUGUGGGGAGUUUUAUGAGACUGGUUGCCCAGCUUCAUUUUUCACUUCACAGGGAAGUACUCCUGCAGCCAUUACCUGAUAUACACAAGGGAUUAACUGAUGUUUCUCUGUGGCUGGGGAAACAGCAUAGUAAGGUCAUUCCUAAAAGCUGGCUGGGGGACAAUUUAACUCUUCAGAUCAAAUAUAUUUGUCCCACCCCUGGCUCUGCCUUCUGAUCAAAGUCAGGGGUGAUUUCAGAGCAGUGGCCCCUCAUUCAGUCAGGUGCUAUGUGCCUGCUCUCUCUCCGUGGGCAUUAAAAAUGAGGCACUGAUGUGUAACCAAGUCCUCAUCAUGGCAGCCGACCUCAGUUUAUCACAGGAUGGAGGCCCACAUCUCUAAUCCCUGUCUAUAAAGCUGUCUGAGAGAGUUGCACAGACCCACGGAUGUCUUUUUUUUUUUUUUUCCAGAAUCCCUUUUAAUGUGUUUUCCCACAGUUUUUGUAAGUGUUAAUGUCUCAGCCUGGCCAUGCCAGCAAAAAAAGAAAAAUUCCCAUAAAGGGUUGCUAUUUUAAUAGUUCAAUUUAUUUUUUUAAGGGAGAAAAUAUAAAAUUGUAGAUUUAAGUUGUAUCCCAGAUGCAGAAUCUUAUCUAAACAUACACACACACACACACACACACACACACACACACACACACACACACACACACACAUACACACACACACACAAAACCAAGGUCUCAGGAUACUCAACUCUUCCCACUUUCCUCAAAAAUACUACUGUCUGUGUGUUCCCAUAUGAACAAUUGAAUGAUUCCCAAGCUGUAUUUCCUCGCAUAGAUGUUCAUUGCAUUUUCCACCCCCUUUCUAUCUUUUAUACAUAUUCUUUUGAUUAAUGUAGGCUUGGAAUUGCUAUUAAUUUCAGGGUAAAUGUUUAGAUCAGAUACAAAGAUAUUUGAAACCAGGAGGAACAGACUCUGUGUCUGCAGCUCCCCAAUGAAGGAAGUUGUAAUUCUUGAUGUAUUUUAUGGCCCAGAAAGACUCAGCCUCAAAUAAAAGCCCAUUCCCCCCAUAUUGUCAUAUUAUUAGUAUUAAACAUCAAUGUACUUUAUAAUUUCGGCAGUGGCUUGUCAUUUGGAUAGUUGUCUGCAAAUGCUACUAAUGUUAUUUUGGAUAAAAAUUGUCUCAUUACCAUGUAAGUUGGGAAAAGAACUCACAUAUCACCUGUACUUCUUCCUCUCUUCCUGUGUCAUCUCUGUCCUCUUAUGAUGCAGUUCAGUUCUCAGGGGACUUUACUGCCCCUGAAAAUUGACAGUCACAUUCUAUUAUAAUGUGUUUUUUUCCCAUUUAAUAACAUGGUAUAGGUAAUGAUUUGCAAUCCUCAAAGGGCCUCCUGCCAGUGACAACUGAACUCAAAUAAUUGAGAACACCAUGCAGUUUGGAGCUGACUACAUGGUUUCAAUCAUGGUUCAAUCAGAGUUAAAGCAACAGUAUGUCUAGAGUGACUUUCAGUGAAAUGACAUGCUCCUGAUACAUUUCCAUAUCUGCUUUACAUAUGGAACUUUUGCUUCUUUGGGCCACUGUGAAACAGGACCAUAAAUGGUAUAUUUAUUUGUUCCCCAUUAGACUGUAAGUUCCCUAUAGGUCGGGAUAUUUUCUUCCCUCCUUUAGUUUUAGUGCCUAAAACAGUGCUUGGCAUAUAGUAUGCUCAAGCAUUAUUUCCCCUGCCUGGUGGCAUGUCACUCAGGUCCACAGUCUUUGUUUUUGUCCUCUUCAUCCAUCGAUAUCGCUAUAUCCCAGCACUUGAGGGCCCUUUAAACCCUGCAUUGACUGGUAUUUAAAGUGACUGGCAUUAUUCAUCCAGCCCUCAAGUAACAGUGUAACUUCCUUCCUAUCGUCUGAUGGCCUUAAGCAGGAGCCCUUGAUGUCACUCCCUGAAUCAUAUAAUACAGUUUAGUUACAGCUGGGUGACCUCACUUUUUCAGUCUUCUCAAAGACCCCUUAUAGGACCAGAACUGGAUCUGAGGCCUUCUCAGUGGCAAGACUUUGUGCCCCACCCCAAAGGAUUCCUCCCCACUGACCAUCAGCAGCACCCUGAAAGAGAUCCUGGCCACCUUAGCACUUUCCUACCUCAAGAUAAACUCCCUCCCUUGCUUCCUAAGAUGCUAAUUUUUUCUCAGAGUCUUUAUUAGGAUUACAUGUAAAAAUGUAUAAAAGUCACCUAACAUAGUAUCUACCCCCUGGUAGGCAUUCAAUAAUUGAUAGCUUAUUCAUUUGUAUAAUGAGCUAAACAGUAAAAUACAGCUUUCUAUAGCUAUGAAUUAUAAUGAAUAUUAAGUUCCUAAUAUCACAGAUAUGGAGACAAUAUUAUGAGGUUAAGUAAGUGUGGGCUUGCCAGCAGAAUUACUUCAAGUCCUGGCUUUGACACUGACUUCCUCCAUGACUUUGGGCAAAUGACUCAACGUCUCUGUUCCUCACCUUGUAAAAUUUAAGCCACAGUACUUACCUUACAUAGUAGGUAUAAGGACUAAAGGAUAUAGUGCUUUCAAUUCCAUAGACUGAACAAUAAAACGUUAUGCAAAUAGAGGCAUCUUUUCUCCUAUGAAAAUGAAUGUUAUGUGAAUUGUGGACAGCCUAUAUUUUGCAAUAACAGUAGGUGAGUUAUAGAACUAAGAUUUCAGAGAGCAUAAUAUGACUUUUCAUUUCCUUGGAGUGUUAAGUACAAAUAUUGCUGAAGUGGAGGAAGAGGAAAGCCCAGCCCUUCUGAUUCUUGAGUGUAUGACAGGGUCUAUGGAUCCCCUCAUGCUUUUUGCAGCCAGCAACUACUGCAGCAGUUUGCUCUGCACACUAUAAAAAAAAAAACAACAAAA